rnacentral:rRNA from 1 species
CCUACGGGGGGCAGCAGUGGGGAAUUUUGCGCAAUGCUCGUAAGAGUGACGCAGCGACGCCGCGUGAAUGACGAAGGCCUUCGGGUCGUAAAGUUCUGUCGACAGGGAAGAAAAUGCCUAUGAGUAACUGUGUAUGUAUUGACGGUACCUGUAUAAGAAGCCCCGGCUAACUCCGUGCCAGCAGCCGCGGUAAUACGGAGGUGGCGAGCGUUGUUCGGAGUGACUGGGCGUAAAGAGAACGUAGGUGGUGUUGUAAGUCAUUAGUGAAAGCCUAGGGCUUAACUUGAGUAAGGCUAGGGAUACUAUAAUACUUGAGUAUCAGAGAGGAUUGCAGAACUCCAUGUGUAGCGGUGAAAUGCGUAGAUAUCAGGAGGAACACCGUUAGCGAAGGCGGCAAUCUGGCUGGAAACUGACGCUGAGGUGCGAAAGCGUGGGUAGCAAACAGGAUUAGAUACCCCAGUAGUC